AUUGAACGCUGGCGGCAUGCUUUACACAUGCAAGUCGAACGGUAACAGGCCUUCGGGUGCUGACGAGUGGCGAACGGGUGAGUAAUGCAUCGGAACGUACCCAGAGGUGGGGGAUAACGCAGCUAAAGCUGUGCUAAUACCGCAUGUGAUCUGAGGAUGAAAGCGGGGGACCGAGCAGCAAUGUUUGGCCUCGCGCCUUUGGAGCGGCCGAUGUCGGAUUGGCUAGUUGGUGGGGUAAAGGCCUACCAAGGCGACGCUCCGUAGCUGGUCUGAGAGGACGACCAGCCACACUGGGACUGAGACACGGCCCAGGCUCCUGCGGGAGGCAGCAGUGGGGAAUUUUGGACAAUGGGCGCAAGCCUGAUCCAGCAAUGGCGCGUGCGGGAAGAAGGCCUUCGGGUUGUAAACCGCUUUUGGCAGGAACGAAACGGUGUCCGCUAAUACCGGGCGCUAAUGACGGUACCUGCAGAAUAAGCACCGGCUAACUACGUG
rnacentral:rRNA from 1 species